rnacentral:pre_miRNA from 1 species
UUACUGGGCCUGAUUCAAAACCCACUGAAGUCAAGGGGAAUCUUUCCAUUGAUUACAAUGGGCUUUGGAUCAGGCCCAUUGAGG